GGAAACUUCUGACCACAGAAAUGUGAACUCUGCUGGGGGCUUUCUAAAUGCCUUUUUCUAUUUUCAUUCUUACAGGGUGGUUGCAAACUGAGAAAUAGGUUGGGCUCAAAGUCCAAAACCACAAGUGCAAGUUGCAUCAAGCCUGUGCAAACUACAAACAACAGAACAGUUGCUCACAUUUCUUUUGUUCACAAAGGUCUUUUUGUUCCUCUAAAUGUAAGGAAAUGCUUAAAUUGUCUCCGCCUACUGUAGUAGGUCUCACAUUUUUUCCUUAUACAGAAGAUAACUCCUCUUCUUUGAGGCUCAUGCAUUCUACUGUAUGGAGGUCUUUGAGCCCAUUCUGGUGCAUCAGAAUAAGACGUGGGAUGAAGCCCUGAACUACUGCAGACAGAACUACAUUGACCUGAUACCAAGUUACCCAAUUCAGCACAGUAUUCACAGCACUCAAGGAACCAAAGAAGGAGCCAAAGAAGAAUCCCCACCACCUCACCAGUGCCAGUCACAAUCAUGGAGGAGACCCUGCAGCUGCCAUGGAAUCCGGAGGGAAUAUGGAAGAGAGAGAGAAAAAAAAAAAAACCUUUUGGGGACUUAAGAGUAAUUUUUAUGACCAUAAUUGAGUACUAUAUAUAGUGUUACAAUUUGUUACUUUAAAUGUUAAAAGUAAUUUUAAUUCAAAUGCAUUGGACGUUUUAACCAAGUCAGUGGAAUUGUCAGUGUGAUAGCGUGCCUUCUCCGGUUUAAAUUUGAAGCUACAAUAGAAAUAUGCUGUUUUGAAUGAAUGUUUUUUAUGUCUA
ensembl:lncRNA